rnacentral:rRNA from 1 species
AAUGAACGUUGGCGGCGUGGAUUAGGCAUGCAAGUCGCGCGAGAAAUUUCCUUCGGGAAAUGGACAGCGGCGGAAGGGAGAGGAAUAAGUAGAAAUCUGCCCUCGGGACGGGGAUAGCGGUGGGAAACUGCUGGUAAUACCCGAUAACAUCUUUGGAUCAAAUGGUGUGAUUCCGCCUGAGGAUGAGUCUACUUCCUAUUAGCUAGUUGGUGGGGUAAUGGCCUACCAAGGCAACGAUGGGUAGCGGGUGUGAGAGCACGACCCGCCUCACUGGGACUGAGACACUGCCCAGACACCUACGGGUGGCUGCAGUCGAGAAUCUUCGGCAAUGGGGGAAACCCUGACCGAGCGACGCCGCGUGCGGGAUGAAGGCCCUUGGGUUGUAAACCGCUGUCGUAAGGGAACAAAUCCAUAGGGGUACUCCCCUAUGGUUGAGUGAUCUUAGGAGGAAGGACGGGCUAAGUUCGUG